rnacentral:lncRNA from 1 species
AGGAUGAGGAGGAACAAGCGAGAGAACGCCGGCGGAGAGACCGCAACCUGAGCUCCACCACUGAUGCUGAGGAUGAAGCCCUUUCCCCUGUGCAGGAUCCCAACAAGCAGGCAGUGGAGAGGCUACGGCGGCUCAAGGAAGCAGAGCCACCAGCGGCAGCCACGGCCGAAGAGGAGGUGUCUGAGCAGAAGCUCACAGCGGUGCUGAGACCGCAAGAGAUCAGGAGGCAGAGGUGGCACGUGGAGAGCUCAGAAAACCUCCGAAAGGAGAAGGAGCAGCCAGAGAACUGCAGGGAGCCAGACAUGGGAGCAGGCCGCCUGGAGGCAGCCCCAUGUCGGGGGUCAGCUCGGGAUGGGAAAGCUCUGGCAGGGGAACAGCACCAGGGGCUGGCCCAAGAGCCGACAGGCCCAAAGGCAGAACAAUGUCUGGGGUUGGCUCCAGAGCAGAAGAUCCUGGUAGGAGAACAGCAUCAGGGGUUGGCUCAGGAUGAGAAGGACCUGAUAGCUGACAAGCCCCCGCAGGAGCCAGAGGUGACAGGAGGCCAGCCCCAGGGAUCGGCUCAGGAGCAGAAAGACCGUAGUCACCUGGAGGUGAAAGUCUUCUCAAGGGGAAGAAGCCGCAUAGAACAAAAACCAGACUCCCCAGUUACUCGCCCCUUCAGCCAGCAGGAUACAGCAAGGAAUCCCCCGCGGGCUCAGGAAACAGCAGGGUCGCCCACCACCCAAGACAGACCC